UGGGGAAUAUUGCACAAUGGGGGAAACCCUGAUGCAGCGACGCCGCGUGGGUGAAGAAGUUUUUCGGAAUGUAAAGCCCUAUCAGCAGGGAAGAUAAUGACGGUACCUGACUAAGAAGCCCCGGCUAACUACGUGCCAGCAGCCGCGGUAAUACGUAGGGGGCAAGCGUUAUCCGGAUUUACUGGGUGUAAAGGGAGCGUAGACGGAACAGCAAGUCUGAAGUGAAAUGUAGAGGCUCAACCCCUGAACUGCUUUGGAAACUGUUGAUCUUGAGUACCGGAGGGGCAGGCGGAAUUCCUGGUGUAGCGGUGAAAUGCGUAGAUAUUAGGAGGAACACCAGUGGCGAAGGCGGCCAACUGGGCUUUUACUGACGCUGAGGCUCGAAAGUGUGGGGAGCAAACAGGAUUAGAUACCCUGGUAGU
rnacentral:rRNA from 1 species